AUAGAUAUUAAUUGAAAUAUUUACUCACCUGCCCAUAAUAGAGUCUUAUGUAUUUUGGAAUGAGGUGAGAGUCCUCAACUGUACCCGCAACUGUAAGUCACGUCAGUGAUAAGUCAGAUACAAAAUACGUUAAUUUGAACUAA
rnacentral:ncRNA from 1 species